rnacentral:rRNA from 1 species
CCUACGGGCGGCAGCAGUGAGGAAUAUUGGUCAAUGGGCGCGAGCCUGAACCAGCCAAGUCGCGUGAGGGAAGACGGUCCUAUGGAUUGUAAACCUCUUUUGUCGGGGAGCAAAAGACGCCACGCGUGGCGUUCCGAGAGUACCCGAAGAAAAAGCAUCGGCUAACUCCGUGCCAGCAGCCGCGGUAAUACGGAGGAUGCGAGCGUUAUCCGGAUUUAUUGGGUUUAAAGGGUGCGCAGGCGGAAGAUCAAGUCAGCGGUAAAAUUGAGAGGCUCAACCUCUUCGAGCCGUUGAAACUGGGUGUCUUGAGGGAGCGAGAGGUAUGCGGAAUGCGUGGUGUAGCGGUGAAAUGCAUAGAUAUCACGCAGAACGCCGAUUGCGAAGGCAGCAUACCGGCGCUCAACUGACGCUGAUGCACGAAAGUGUGGGUAUCGAACAGGAUUAGAUACCCCUGUAGUC